rnacentral:rRNA from 1 species
GUAGGUGGCAAGCGUUGUCAGGAAUUAUUGGGCGUAAAGCGCGCGCAGGCGGUUCUUUAAGUCUGAUGUGAAAGCCCACGGCUCAACCGUGGAGGGUCAUUGGAAACUGGAGAACUUGAGUACAGAAGAGGAAAGCGGAAUUCCACGUGUAGCGGUGAAAUGCGUAGAGAUGUGGAGGAACACCAGUGGCGAAGGCGGCUUUCUGGUCUGUAACUGACGCUGAGGCGCGAAAGCGUGGGGAGCAAACAGGAUUAGAUACCCUGGUAGUCCACGCCGUAAACGAUGAGUGCUAAGUGUUAGGGGGGUUUUCCGCCCCCCUUAGUGCUGCAGCUAACGCAUUAAGCACUCCGCCUGGGAGUACGGCCGCAAGGCUG